CAGCUACAACAAGGUAACUGGCCCCCAGCACCAUCCUGUGCUUGAAAACUAGUAUUUAUUCCUUCUCUUCCUCUGGAAAAUGGCCCAUGUCCAAGUCCUCUUCCAUCUUUGGAUGCUUUGAGAAGAGGAUAAAGAUGCUUGGCCAGAUCUGCCUGAUGCUUGUGCUCCUUUAUUCUGAAUCGGAAAAAGGAGUUGAAUAAACAAGCUAGGGACUGCAUGAAGUAAUGAACAGAUACAGAUUCUGUAUAUAUAGGUACCUUGCACUGAAGAAUGUGAUACUUUGAAUUGAAGGUGGGUAGAAUAUCAGAGGUGAAAAAUAGCAUCAUUGUUUGUAAUGGUAGCCCUCAAUCCUCUGACCAGAAAUGAGCUACAUGGUAUGCUCAUAGUUUGCAGUCUAGUGGUAACAAGUUUUAUCUGGAUGACUUAUUAGCACCAUUGCAUUAAUAAUGUUCUGGCCUAUCUCUGCAGCAUCCUCAAUGAACAAGAUUUCUCCAGUAAGUCCCACCAUAUCUAUGCUUCUCCUUCUGGGCAUGCAGGCAACAGCUCAAGCUGGUAGUGUUCUACACUGAGUUUUGCAAGGAUUUAUGUGUUGGGCCUGGAAUAUGUGAAACUAGAAUGUGAACUCUUCCUCUGCCUUAGGGAUUUUGAUUCCUUCUAUCAGACCACCAUGGCCAGUCCUAUAAAUACCACUGGGGACCCCUCCAUAAGGUUUCUGGAAGAGCUGAAAGAAUGGAGGUGGCAGUGAUGCGUUCUCUUGAUGCAUUCCCUGGAACCUAGUUAUGGGCAGAUGGAAAGUCUGGUUUAAUCUUUCAUUUUCUGGAACCAAAACUAAAUUAAAAUAUACUUUCAGUAACAACUUUUGAAUAGUGAUUUGACUAAAACCUGUUGAUGCCUGCCAGAGCUGAUUUUACAUGCAGACUGUUGGCAACUAAAAGACCCUGCAUAUCACAGCUUUUCCCUUUUGUGCAAGGUCUUUUGUGGCACUCUGCAUUUUUCUUUAUAAGUGUUGCAUUUGUGAAUCAAAUUAUUAGUAAUUUUCUGUAAAAACUUUAUAGAAUGUAUUUGUGAGAAGAGAGCUUAAGUAAAUAAUAAAGUAGGGUUAUUAAUUAUUACUUACUGUUCCAGCUGAUCUCUGCGUAGUGCGUGUUGAUUCAUAUAACACUGAUGUGCCUUUUCUUCCUCUCUGAGAAUAGCUUCUUUAUGUUCAUGUUCCUUUUCUUCACCCUUCUUUUUGUUAACAUCUGACUUUAACUUUUUAAAUUCAACUUGAGCAUCUCUUUCUUUUAGGACCUCAGCAAGUAGAAGUGCACUCUGCAAGAGAACAUUUAAAGUAAUUAGCAUGUUCAGAAGCAUUUAAAGACAUUCGGUACAACUUGAAUUUAAAAAUUCUAAGUUGUCAACAAACAUGCAACCCUUUCACUCUUUCGUUCUGAUAGUAUAGGUAGGUUUUUGCAUGAUCAAGAGCCUCCUUCCGUUUUGCUGCUUGAAACCGUUGCUCUUCCAAAUCAAGUAACUUUCUUUCUUCUUCUUCCCUUUCUUCACGUAAUUUUUUGGCUUUAAGUUUCCGUUGUGCCAGGCCCUACAGUGCAGAGAAAAUUAGAAAUCACAUUUAAAGCCCAUGGAUUAAAAACGUAUAAACCAUUCUGAAGGUGAUGUACUCAAAGUUUGGGUUUUUUUUAAUUUUGCAUUUUAGCUUUAAUUAAAAAAAAAAAGUGGAUGUUAGAUGUUAAAUGUAUUUAAAUGGAGUUUAGUUAAAAUACAUAUUUAAAAGCAAAUGUUAAACAAAGGGAGUACAGCUAGAAAUGUUACUAUGAGUGUUUUUGCAUAUAUGAAAAUUAAUCCCCUUGUUUACAAAUGUAUCUUGUACUUACCAUAAUGGUAUUGGGCCAGUCUUUCACAGCAGCUUUGGAGCGUAAGUGCAUUUCUUCCUGUUCUUUCUUCUCAGCGAGGAUGCGUGCUUCUUCUCUAGUUGUGCUGUCAAGAUUGUCCUGAAUCCUUUCCCAUUCUGCUUUUGGCAAUACCAUUACCUGAUGAAGAUCUACUUCAUUUGGAAGAAAAUAGCCAUCCAGAAUGUUAAUUUCUUCCAAAUGAUGCGGCGCUGUGCAGAGGGAAGAAAAGAUACUGAGGUUACUUGAUAUCAGAAAAUCCUAUAUUCAAACCUGUAUCAGGAUUUGAAUUCUUGCAUAAUAACAAUACUAAGUCAUCCUUAGCAGUAGUUACUCUCCCCAUCCCGGUACCUCAGAGCUAAGACAGGGUAUCUGUAUCGGUAGUCCGUGGCCAGCGCAUGUGCUUGGGCUGUGGCGCUGACUGAUUUAAAUGUUUGUGUGCCUCCUUGCCCGUUUGUGUGUAGGUACAGGUUUGGCUUGUGGUAACUAACGCUUUCCUGGCAGUACUUAGGCAUAAUUCUGAGAACAGCAGGGACCAGGGAGCAUUCCCAAAAGGAAAGGGAGAAUAUUGGUAGAGACAUUCCGCUGGCUGGAUGAGGCAGCAGUUUGGGCACAGGCUGUGCUUUACCACCCUUGUCCUAUGCACUCAUCGUAUUUACUAAAACAGAUCUGUUGUAGAACAGUUUCUUGAUUUGUUGGAAAGAUUAGCAUUUCUUUGUUGUAUUAGGCUUACAUGCACGUGUGCAUGCAUAAAUACAGCUUUUUUGGUGAUCGCGAGUGUUUGUGAAAUGGCCUUCAAACUGUCGCCAGUAUUUUCGAAGAAAACGGCGCUCUGUACGAUGCGACGUCCUGUUAGAAAUUCUCCUUGUUCAUCUGAUUUGCAGCAGACUGCCGUGCCGUGUCUGAAACGUAAGGAGGCUUUCUCUUACAGCGAUGCUGAUGUCCGGGUCUGUUUUUCAGAUGCAGCUGCUAAUCGGUUUGUCUUAUGAUAGGGACCAGACCUGACCUUCUCCCUCUGCCCGAGGCGAAGGUAGCCUUGCCAAGAGUCGGCGUAGACUGACGCGGCUGCUCCCCGCGGAUGGGGAACUGCCGGGUGCACAGCUCUUCGCUGGCUUCAGCUCUUGGGUAAUGCUGUACCUCCACGGCUUUCAGAUGAAAAUAGCGAUACCUGGAUUGUGAAAUGCGCUCCUGAGAAAAAGCUUCCUAAUGGAUUAAGAAACUCCUAUCGACCAGGACAUUGGACAGAAUAUAUGGGCAGAGUCUUUGUCUACUUGGGAGACAAUGGCGUCAA